UACGAAGGGGGCUAGCGUUGCUCGGAAUCACUGGGCGUAAAGGGUGCGUAGGCGGGUCUUUUAAGUCAGAGGUGAAAUCCUGGAGCUCAACUCCAGAACUGCCUUUGAUACUGAGGAUCUUGAGUUCGGGAGAGGUGAGUGGAACUGCGAGUGUAGAGGUGAAAUUCGUAGAUAUUCGCAAGAACACCAGUGGCGAAGGCGGCUCACUGGCCCGAUACUGACGCUGAGGCACGAAAAGCGUGGGGAGCAAACAGGG
rnacentral:rRNA from 1 species